AUGCAAGUCUCAGCGCACAUGGUUCAACAGUGGGUCUGUGAAUGGCUCCUUACAUCAGCAGUCAUCUCCGCGAUAGAGUUGUUGGCACCACCUCCUGCCCAUCGGUGCCCAGUUGGACAUCCUCCAAAACCUUGUGGCUAAUACACGUUCGCUCCGGUCGGCCACGGUACACACUUGGGAACCUUUCCACGCUCCUCCCCGGUCAAACGGGGGUGUGGUGGUGGAUUGCACCCAGCCGGCACGAAGACCAGCGCCCCUCACCGGGCAGUGUGUUGUGGUUGACCCAGGCUGGUCCCUCCUGGGACGGUUGCACUGGCAGAGUUUCGGUGGCCCCGUCAAAACGGGUCACAGCCUCGGCUUGAUCGCACGAACUUCUGACCUAUCAGCCUGGACUGUGGUGCAGUGGACCACAGUGGCCUUGACGGGUAACGGAGAAUCAGGGUUCGAUUCCGGAGAGGGAGCCUGAGAGACGGCUACCACUACCAAGGUGGGCAGCAGGCGCGCAAAUUGCCCAAUGCAAGCAAAGUCUGCGAGGCAGCGACGAACUGCAGCAAUUCCACUGGUCUUCUUCACCAGUGGAACUUGGAAUGGAUGCAAUCCAAAGACAGUGAUGAGUAACAACUGGAGGGCAAGUCUGGUGCCAGCAGCUGCGGUAAUUCCAGCUCCAAGGGCGUAUACUAACAUUGCUGCGGUUAAAACGCUUGUAGUCUGCCACUGGGUUGCAGGUCUGCUGGGUGGCCGUGCCGUGACGCUGUGGGUCGGGCCGUGGUUCCUGCCGUGCACCCCUCGGGGCGUGCGGUGGGGCCGCGGUGCGUCCACGGUCGCGGUGCGGGCAAAACCCCCGGCGGUAUGCUCCUGCACCCGCCAAGUUUGCUCGCGAUGGUGAGAUCUGCUCCUGCCGAAAGCCCCCUUCACUGGGGGUCCCCAGCGGGUUCACCCCGAACGCAGGUGUGCGACAACCACAGGCGGACCGGCGCCCCCGUGCCCGGUACCCUUUGCAACCGCCCGUCCACCUCCGGAGUCCACCAUCACAGACACCGUGGAAAACUCAGUGUGCUCAAGGCGUCCACCACUCGGCUGGAUGCCCGUCCAUGGCAUGUCAUUGCACCGACCAAGCGCGGCAUUUUGGAGUUGUGCUGGCCUUGGCGCCCGCUCUGGGCAAUGUGGUGCGUGCACCGGCGUCCUGCCUCGCCAUCGGCCUGCCCCCCCGGUGUGUCCGCUCGCCCUCGGGUGGGCGGGUGCGCCGGGACCGGGCAACCGUACGGGGCAGCCGGCGUCCGGCCGUGCGCAUCGACCGAAUCCGAUGGGACCAGUCAGGGUGAAAGGUACUACCGCGCCAGAGGUGAAAUUCUUAGACCGCCGCAAGACCCACGGUGGCGAAGGCGCUUUGCAAGGCUGUGUUCGUCGAUCAAGAACGAGAGUCCGGGGAGCAAAGAUGAUCAGACACCGUCGUAGUCCGGCACCGUCAACCGUGCCAGCUCGGCCUCGGCUGGGAAAGUCCAUCGACCCAGCNCAGGGCCACGCCCCCUCCAACGAGAAAUCCAAGCCCAUGGGUUCCGGGGGGAGUACUGUCGCAAGGUUGAAACUUAAAGGAAUUGACGGAAUGGCACCACAAGNCGUGNAGUAUGCGGCUUAAUUUGACUCAACACGGGGAAUGUUACCAGGUCAGGACACUGCCAGGAUGGACAGACUGAGAGCUCUUUCUUGAUUCGGUGGACGGUGGUGCAUGGCCGCUCCUGAUUGGUGGAGUGAUUUGUCUGGUUGAUUCCGAUAACGAGUGAGACAUCUGCCUCCCACUAGCCUCGGGCUCGCAUUUGGUAGGGUCAUGGCCCGCGUGGCGCGGCCGCGUGAAGCCCCUCACGGGGUGGAGCGUGGACACGUGCCUGCGGGUCGCCCGAGAGCCCCGAGUCUCAAGCUUCUCUGAGGUGCUGUGUACGCUACCAAGUGCAUGCAUGCUAGAGCCAACAGCAGGUCUGUGAUGCUCCCAGAUGUCCUGGGCCGCACGCGCACUACAUUGACCCAGUGAAGGUGUCACCUCCCGCUGGCGCUCCCGUCCAGCCCUGCCCGGAAGUGGGUGGGAAACCCUGCAAGUCUGCGUCGUACUGGGGAUAGAUGAUUGCAACUGUCUGCCUUGAACGUGGAAUGCCUAGUAGGCGUGAGUCAUCAGCUCACACCGAUUGUGUCCCUGCCAUUUGUACACACCGCCCGUCGUUGCUACCGAUGGCGGCUGGAUAAAACCAUCCGGAGCUCCGGGCCGUGCCUCGUCGCGGCCAGCCGAAAUCGGGUGAUGUCCAGCUGCUAGAGGAAGCAAAA
rnacentral:rRNA from 1 species